rnacentral:lncRNA from 10 species
CACACUGGGAAAUGAAAUUUGGGUUUGGCGAGUUAUGGCCAAAAAGCUGCCCAAAGUACUUGAGAGCCGCCUUGGAGAGUGGCGCGGGGUGCCUGGCAAGGUGAGACCGGCCUGCGGGGGCGCGGGCUUUUCCUCAGCAGCUCUACGCCCGCCUGGCCCGGCGCCUGAGGGGUAGCGACGCAGCCCACGUCGCUCUCAGAGCUUGCCGGGAGGGGCGUCACGUGACUCCGGGUGCGGUCCCCGCGCUGAAGCUCUGGAGCGAACCCGAACCCUCCUCUCAGGCCCGCCCCCUGCGGCCCGCAGCGGGCAGCCUGGCCCAAUUUAAGGCAUAGCGUGUGGGCGGGGGCACCCCGCGGGACCCGGAAACCAACGGGCCGCUGAGGCCGCCUAGCGCCAGCCUCCACCGCAAGGCGGGGAUUUCGGUGCACACGAUUUCAGACAGAAUAUGCCCGCGACUUCGGACCGGGUUGCUGGCGAAAGCAGAGCCCAGCUUUCUGAGAAAAGUUAGGAGUUAGUAGUGCUCUGUCCGCCCAACAGUUUUCGCAAUGGAUUCAGAAUUAAAACCUCUAAACCGAUGAUUUUCGAAGAGUGGUCCCGGUACCAGCUGCAUCAACGUCGCCCGGGAGCUCGUUAGAGAUUCAGAUUAUCGAUGCCGGGCGCGGUGGCUCCACCUGUAAUCCCAGCACCUUGGGAGGCUGAAGCGGGAGGAUCGCUUGAGCCCAGGAGUUUGAGACCAGCGUGGGCAACAUAGUGAGACCCCAGUCUCUACAAAAAAAAAAAAAAAAAAAAAAAAAAAAUUAGCCUACAGUGGUGGCGCUUGCCUGUGGCCCCAGCUGCUCCGGAGGCUGAGGCUGGAGGAUCACUUUAGCCGGGGAGGCAGAGGCUACAGUGAGCCGAGAUGGCACGACUGCACUCCAGCCUGGGCGACAGGGCGAGACCCUGUCUCAAAAACAAAACAAAACAAAACAAAAGGAAAACAAAAUAAAAAGAUUCUCGAUCCCAAACUAGACCUACUGAAUCAAACACUCGGGGUGGGCAGGGGUAGGGGGCGCGUACAACAAUCUGUUUGAACAGAGCCCUCCCGGGGACACUGUUACACACUUAAAUUUGAGUGAAAACCACCACUGAUCUAAGCGGGACAGGGAAGUGUCUGGGAGUAAAACAAGAGUAGAUACGCCUUGUUUCGCAGAAUUUCUGUCUGAAGUACUAGUAAAUGUGAUUCUUUGACACUUUCUGGUGAGCGGAGGCUGCACACUGUUCAGGUUUCCUUGCUCUGUUAACUCUGACUUUCGGUAAAUUGCUUCAGUUUUCUAAGCUUCCAUUUCCUUCUAUGUAAAAAAGUGAAAAUAAUACCACAUGGAGUUGCCUGUAGGUUAAAUUACAUAUUUUAUGAAAAUCACUUAGCACAGCUCCUGGCAAAACCGAAUAAGUGCUAUCUACGUCAGCAUUUGGCGUUUGUUGCCCUGGGCAUAAAAUACCCUAGGACCCCUCUUUCUAUUUCGCCUGGCUCAGAAGUUUUGACGUGGCUACUGAAAUACAAGACAAGGCCUGCUACUUACUAGUGCUGCUUUUAGUGAAAGUGUGCUAAAAGUAUUUAUAGAUUUUAUAGCUUUAAUAAUAUAAAAUGUCAAGAACAGGCAGCAAUUUGGCAAGAGAAAUUCCAGAUUGCAUUUUACAGCUUCUAUGAUAAAUGACUGUUACAUAAGCAGGAAACAUACCUCAUUGAAAAUGGCAACUCUUUUGGCAUCUAUAGCAAAUAUAAUGAAACAUGCUGUUUAAUAUUUCACUUGGCAGAAAUUGUAUUUUUAAGUCUUUCUCUGCAUAUAAAUGUGCUUUAAACUGUCGUAUGUUCAAAGUUCAUUUUUAAGUCUCUUGUUCAGAAUUUU